AACUCAGAAUAUUCUAAAAAUUUUACUGAAGAGCCUACUUACAGAGGAGAGAUUAGGGUUCAGUGAACUGGCUAGAUACACUGAGGUUUCUGAGCCUAGUAACAGUGGGAAGACCUGGCUGUUCCAGGGCCUGUGGGAUAUGGGAAGAACAAGUUGUUACAGGAUUCCAGCAAGAGCUAGAACCAUGAAGGGGCUGCCUGGUGGUGUGUUGGUAAAUUAUUUAACAACUAGCAACUAGCUCUCAAAAGAAAAAUGCACUGUUUUUAUAGCAUUUGCUAAUUUCUGGGGUAUAAAUAUUCUUACCACGAUCAGUUUUGAGCUACUAUUAUAAUGUUGCUGAACACAAAGCUGGGAAGAAUGUGUAUAUCAGUUCUUGCGUGCCAGUAUGAACUGGCUCCAGCAUGCCACUGGGGCUAUCCAACAAGAGCUGAGAUCAUGGAGGGUUGCAGUCACACAUAGGGAAGAAAAGGAGAAGAAAAACUCCCAACUUUUUUGUCUUUCCUCCUGCCUUCCAAUUUCCUGGAAGUUCUGAUAGAAUACUAGAACUUUCCUCCAAGAAAACCAUGAUGAUUCUAGAACUCAUCUCCAGUCCUUGAUCUCAGAAAAGAAGGGUUACAUACUGUUGCCUCGGCAUGCCUCUGCUUCUCAGAACUCAGAAUCAAUACAAGUCUGCAAAACUGCUCUCCAGCCUGACAUAUCUGUCUGCCACUCAGGAGAAAAAGCAUUCAGGACUUGCUUGCUUACCUUUGCUUAGGAGUGAGUGUUGCCUCCAGAGAAAGAAAAUAAAUCAAAAGACCAAAAAUAAAAAGUCUUUCCAGAUCUCCCGUAUUAGAAAUGUCUGCCAAGGAUGGGCCGAGACAGAGAGACCAGGAAAUAGAUGAGGGGCUUUGAGUAGCAGCACACAGAGUUUGUAUACCUAGGAAGACUGGAAGACUAGGCUACCUGGCGUCUUGGUCCCAAGAAGAGUCAUCAUUCCAGAUUUCCCAAUGGUGCUGGAGGUAAAAUAUGACAGUCUCUGACCUCAGGGAAUCUAUUUCAGAAGACCCUGGAAGUGUGGGCACUUUCCGAUAGGAAAACAAGGAAAUAGCCCUUCUUCAAAUUUCCCUGCUCCUUUGGAAAAUUCUGAUUUGCCUAUCCAUACUCCUCUCAAGCUUGUGAACUCCAGCCUCACCAUGUAGAUCCAUGUUUCAUGUUUUUAUUAUCUGUAUAUGGCAAGGCCUAAGCCAGAGAUUUCCCUGCCAGGACCCAGACCUCAGGCUUCAGGAAGAGAAGAAGACUCUGAUGCAGGAGUCCUGAAGGACAUCAAGAGAACUAUCCAGAAGUUGAGAGGAACACUGAAAUUUGCUAAGAGGGACUCAAGUCCUUUUAGAGGCCAUUACUCUGGCAGCAUAUAGAAUGACAAGGAGUACUACCUCUGACAAUGGAAGACCAGACCUGUUUGAAUAGGCUCUGGCCACUUAAGCCCCAGGACACUGUACUCCAAGGGGCAGAGUCUGUCUGGCCCCGCACUGAACCCUUUGGGAGAUAAAAGAGAUAGAUUGUCCAGUUUCCAAUUGAUUCCUCCAGUUCUAAAUGAUGUGACCUCAGACCUUGGACUUCAGGCUAUGAAUAAACUAAGCCUCUGCAGCUUCCAGUAGUAUAUGGAGUUAAGGACAUGUAUGUGUACCUUAGAAGUAACUGUGUGAUCCUGGGCAAGUUACAAAAAUUUCCUGAUCCUUGUUUCUCAUCCUUAUCUCCUAGGAUUGUUGCAAGGAUUCAGUUUAUGUAUCUAGAAUGCCCCCCACACAGUAGGUGCUCACUUACUAGAUAUGAGUUGAUAAUCCCAGAUAAUCAUCUGGGUUUUUAUGAUGGUCCAAAUUUUCCAAAUUCCCUAUCUUGACUCUCCCCUCUCAGUACAAAGGGAUCAGCUAACUAGUCUGAUAAAAAUUAACCCUUGGUAGGUAUAAUCUCUGAUAGUUUUGUGAGAGCCCUCUAUUCUGUGGUUUAAAUGAGUGGUGACUCACUUUAAGAACUCCAGGCUUGCUCACCUAUGGAUGGAACUGGUUCUUUCUUUCCUUGGAAUUUUGAGCAUUUUCACAAAAUUACUGUGGAUACUUUUGGAGAGUUCUAAACAGAUGGGUGAGCCAUGCCUAGUGUCCCUUAUUUUUUAGCUGUUUAUAAACCUCCCCAGGCAGCACUACAUUGCCCUGGACAGAGAUUUAAUUCUGAUUCAAGGAAUUGUGCCAGCUUCUUAAUGAAAUGCCAACAGCUCCUUUUCAGCCUCCUGGAACAGAGUUAAGCUCCUGCUGGCUGAAGAUAUCACUGAAUAAUGGGGGUAGGCCGCAGAAUCUGGAGCCCAGGUGUCCCAUUAGUGAAUGGGCCAUAAAGUCAAGAAUAUAGUCAUGGAGGCUAGGUUGUCAUAAAUUAGAAUGGACAGGAAUUGUCAGUGUGCUUACCUUACCUGGACUGUUUGGGAUUGCAGAAAAAGAGAGAGCAAGAGAUGAUUAAAGAGCAAUAGAAUUAACCCUAGAUUUUGGCAAGUAUGAGAAACUAUCUUUUCUUCCCUCCAUGCACAUAGUUAUCAAGAGAAAAGCAAUAUUGAUAUGGGCGUGGAAGCAUAAUACUUGCCAUAGCUCACAUUCAGUUCUCUGACAGCCUCCUAAGGGGUACCCUGUACUGGAGAGAGAAACUCUGCUAUGGUAACAAUAAUGAUGAUUGGAAAAGUUGUUACCAUGUGUCAGGCAAUGUGCUAAGUACUUUAUAGGCAUUCUUUCCUUUAAUCCUCACUACAACUAUGAAAUAGAUACUAUCAUUAUCUCUUUUACAAACGAGGAACCAGAAACUCUGAGAAGGUAGAAGACUUGCCCAAGGUCACACAGCUGAAGAGAGAAGGAGAGAGGAUUUAAACUCAGGGGACCUUCUUCUAGAGUGGGCAUAAUUAACUGCUAAAGAAAACAGCUAAUCAUUUGUGUGGUCCAUUGUGGUGUUGUACUUGUUAUCUUACUUGCUUCUCAGGAGGAGUCUGUGGCGGUAAACCCCGUCUGUCCCACUAAGCAGUACCAGAUCAACUGCUCUCUCUCUCAGGUCUCCAAUAUUAGGAGCAGCCCUCUUUGCAGAGACCCUAGUCUGAUAUUCCUAUAGUUCCACACUACUUGUUUAAGUCACGGCACUUACUGCCUCCCCAAAUCACACAUCUCUUGUGUUCAACCUAUCCCAUGGGAGUCAAUCAAAGGAGUAAGUUCAUUGACCUGGGUUGUGAGAUUAUAGCAAACAUGGAACAUGACACAUGGUGCUAAUGAAUGUGCUGGUUUCCAGCAAAGGCAAAUUCCAAAGAGUAAAAUCUUAUUAAUUCAAACCACAAGGGGCCAUAAUUCAUGACUGUCAACUGCCCAAGCUUAGUUAUCCAAUAUUUUCAUGCAAAGAACCUAAUACUUCGUAAUACUUCUAUCUUCUGAAGAAGGUAUAAUGAAUCCUCUGUAAUUUUGAGUUAACUGUUAUUAAAAAAAAAAAACAAAACCAAAAAAACCCAAGUAAACCAAAAUUGAAAACCCAAC